GCGGGUGUGGCGGAAUUGGUAGACGCACCAGAUUUAGGUUCUGGCGCCGCAAGGCGUGGAGGUUCAAGUCCUCUCACCCGCACCA
rnacentral:tRNA from 2 species